CUGGGGCUCUCUCCACGUGGCCUUCACUCCAGGCUGAGGCACGAGCAGCGGCUGCUGCCUGAUUCAUGGCCAGUCACUGGCAGCCAGAAGGAACACGGCGAAUUGCUCAGGGUCAUGUAAAGCUUCUGCCCACACUGUCACUUCUGCUUGCAUGUCAUUGACCGAGGCCAGUCACAGGACCAACCCAGAUGAAUCCCUGGAAGCUGGGAAAGAAGUCCAUCUCUUCACUCAAAGUGGGCAGAAAAAAAAAAGGGCAAAUUUCCUGAUAACUAGACGCAGGCAUACUUGUCUCAUUGCUUCAGACACGAUCAGAGCCGCUCUUGGUGCGGCUGUUGGACACCUGGAAAGGCCCCGCCGGACAGACAUGUGUCUGACCAGUGACACCUGACCCCUGCCCAGAGCUGGCGACCUCGCCCUUCAGGCCUGAGAGCAAAAUGUCCCUGGUGUGACUUCAUCGCCAGAGCCAAGCGGAGGGGCCGCGCAAGGCUAUGGUGGGAACAGGAUGUGAAGCAGACACAGAGCCUGAAAUAGAAGCCUGUACGGCCACAGGAAGAGGAUGAGAAUAUGGAGGGCAGGGUGGCUACCCACUGGCCCUCUGUCAUUAGGCAUCUUUAUUGUGUGGUUGACAGAGGAGUGGGGAGUGUCCACCAGACCCAGACUGGCAGACGUGGAAUUCAGUCCACCCUGCCUCUGAUUUAAUGACCCACUGCUACAAGCCACAAGCUCUUCAUUUGUCGAUAAUUAAUGGGAGGCAUGUAGGCAGAAUCCCUUGGAAACCGCAGUCCACAGGAUGGCCCAAAGCAGGCCUCCCUGCCCCCAUGACCUAGCAUCUAGCGGGUGGGGGCGAAGAUGCUGCUAAACACCUGGCAGGGUUCAAGACAGCCCCCCACCCCAACAAAGGAUCAGCUGGCCCAAAAGGUCAUUCAUGUUGAGGUUGAGAAACCCUGCUGCUGACUGUGUGUAUUGCUUGAGAGUAGAAAUCUCAACUUACUCAGUUUUUAAUUUCCAGUGCUGUCUCAGAACCUGGCAGAGUCAGAAUCCAGCAUAUUUUGCUGUUGGUGAAUAAAUGUAUGAGCAAGGGAAUUCUCUCCUGCCUGACACAUCUGCGAUGCACAACCACCUUCAUGCAAGCACAACCCCAGGCCCACUAUUAUCUCUGUGAAUACAUCUGCACAUGAGUGCAUGCACACACAGAUGAGCACACAUCCACAGGCAUGCACACACACACACACCCACCAUCCUCCAGGCACCUGCCCGACUCCGCCGAUCACCCCUUCCCUAGUUCAUCUGAAGACCAGGGGCUUCUUUUCUCUGCUACAGUCAGAACGUCCUGGGCGCAGACAGCUCGGCAGAGGCACUGAGUGUUCUUCAUAAAUAAUUUCACUGAUUUGAGGCAUUUUCCUGUAGUGGCUCCAUGACUGACUAAGCAGCACAUGCAAAAGGGAAAAGAUCCUUUUUGCAGUUAUACACACAGAAGGCAGCUCAACAACUGGAAAAGUGACAUGUCAAUUCUGACAAUGGAGUCGUGGCCCAGACAUGUUGUAGGUGGGCCCGACUCAUUAAAUGGGGCGAUGUUGGAGGUUGCUGACAAUGGAGUAGAGGGGGCUGGAGGAACUGCAUCGGGGACUGCCAGGCCCACUGGUGGGCACCAACCAGAAGGGCACAGGAGAGUGGGAUACAAGUGGCCGUGGCACAAAGGUGCUCUUGUUUCUUUCCUGUGCUUGUCUUGUGGGAGCUGGACGAGGCUCAGAAAUGAACAGCCAACAGGAGGAAAAGCCACAGGGGAAGUGGCACAACGAUUUAGGUACCAAUUUUCCUGGAAAAAUUGGAAAAGAAGGAGUCUGGGAUUUGCCAGUUCUUGGCUCUGUGACCCAAAUCAAGUUACAAGUGACCUUUCCCACUUUGGCUCCUGUCAAGGUCGAGAUAUUGCAUGCCCACAGGCCAGGGGCUUCGCCCAUCUUGGCAAUUACUCAUCUUCAGGCAUUUCCUGAUUACUCACCCUCCUCCCCUGCUGGGCGGUAAAGUCCCUACGCAGAAAGGGUGUCACACUCAUAUCUAUGUCUCCAGUGUCUACUUUAGUAAAUGUGUGAUGAGUGAGUACAUAAAUGAAACAAUGGACGAACCCCAAUUAACUGAUUUUCGGGAGGAGGCUGGGGUAAAAGGGCAGAGUCCAGGGACAGAAGCCACAUUUGCUGUGUCAAAGAGUUUGGGGUUUUUUUCAAGAGACAAUAAAGAGUUCACCAGGGGGAUGACAUGCUAAGUUUAGUGCUUUGAAGAGAAGCCUUUGUAUAUGUACAUGUGCUGCACCUCUGAAAUUCAUAACCAAUGCCUUGAAUUUUUGUGUUUUGCUUUGAGUUUGGUUUUCAAUUGGACAAAGUGAUAAACACAUUAUCUGACAGUAAAGCCCCCUUCCUAUCAUCUUCCACCUGAGACCUAGAAUUUGUCUCUGAUAACUGUGCUUUAAUGAGUAUGUGUGAUAGGGUUUCAGUCGUGGUGGCACAUGCAUUCAAAAAAUGUAAUCGAGAAAUACACAAGCCUAUGCCAACUGGUGGCCUCCAGGAGGCAGGAUCCUUUGUGUCUUCCGCCUCAGUUACUAUUUUUUGUUUUGUCCAAACAUUCUCCAGAGCACAUGUGGGCUGAGCCUUCAUGGCCUCAGCUCUUCUUUUGAACUUCCCACCUCAUUGACCCAGGAACGCAGGCACUGCUGUGUGAGUGCAAAAUGCCAACAGCCCAGGUCCCAGUGAAUUGCUCAGGUGUGGACACUCAAAUACAAUGCCCCAAAUCCAAGUCCUCUCCCAGAGUUUUGGAAAAGAAAUGAAACUGUCUGUCUCCAGGUGGCGGGAACAUAAGGCAUGGGAGCCUGAGAGCUGGCCGCUGGAAGAGGCUGGAACAGACAAGAACAGACAAGAAAGAACUGUUUUCCAAACAAGCAGAGCCAAGAGCAGGUCGAAGGGAUUCCGUUGUGUUUCAGGGUCUGGCAUCCAGCUGUCUGGGGGCCCCUCCAUGUUUCAGUCUCCGGGUUCUUGGACCUACCCCAGUGUCUUCCCCAAACCUCUCCCUCUUGCAUUAGCUACUUUUUGUUGUAUUUCUUCCACCUGUGCUUCAACUAAUUAUAUAAUAGGAGGUGUUUUACUUUUAAGAUCAGAAAAAAAAGUUGUUGAGAAUA